rnacentral:tRNA from 1 species
UCCGGCGUGGUCGAGUUGGAAAGACGCGCGGCUGUUACCCGCGAGAGCGCAGGUUCGAGCCCUGCCGCCGGAG